AAUCAACGCUGGCGGCGUGCCUAACACAUGCAAGUCGAACGCGAAAGCCCGCAAGGGUAAGUAGAGUGGCGCACGGGUGAGUAACACGUGGACAACCUGCCUUCGAGUGGGGAAUAACCUUCCGAAAGGAGGGCUAAUACCGCAUAACACCUCGGGACACAAGUUUUUGGGGUGAAAAGAGCAAUUUGCUCGAAGAGGGGUCCGCGCCUGAUUAGCUAGUUGGUGAGGUAACGGCUCACCAAGGCUUCGAUCAGUAGCCGUCCCUGAGAGGGAGCACGGCCACACUGGAACUGAGACACGGUCCAGACUCCUACGGGAGGCAGCAGUGGGGAAUUUUUGGCAAUGGGCGAAAGCCUGACCAAGCAACGCCGCGUGGGUGAUGAAGUAUCCUGGUACGUAAAA
rnacentral:rRNA from 1 species